AGUGAAGAAAUGGGGAAGCUUGAGGACAGAGGAGUGGAUAUGAUAACACAAAUUCAUCUUCUUUCUUGAGAACAAUCGUCGAGCUUGAAUUGUCGUAGCCAGUGGAGGAGGGAGAAUGAGAGUGUGAAUCUAGAGAAGAUGGUGGUGAAGAGCGACAGAGGAAGGCGGAGGAGUAAUUACAGAAGGCGGACUAGGGUUCCUAAGUUUCGAUUUUGAACAAGGUGACGAUGGUGUUUUCGAUUAGAGAAGAACCCAGUUCGUUCAUCUUUUACAAAAACUAGUCUGAGGUUUACAACUGAAGCAGAUGGAAGAAGAAGGUAGAUCGAUUCAAGUAAAAAAAAAAAAUUUGUGUCGUGAGUGAGAACAAAAAAAAAGAGCUGAAAAUUGGCCAAGUGUUUUACUCUAAAAUCACUUUUCAGCUAAAGUAUUGGUUUUCAUGUUCCCGCUUAAUGAAAUUUUUUACUAGCGCGAUUUUAAUGCUACAAUAGAGUUGUGAUCCGAUUUUAACACUUUUGGUAGCAGUUUGUGAAAUCGUGCUAUCGCGAACUGCUACUGAUACUCAUAUUUCUUGUAGUGUCUACAAGUCUUCAUGUAGUUGUUUUAAAGGUCAGGUAAGAGCAACAAGUUUAAAAAUUAAAAAAAAAAAUAUAACAAACAUAAUAAGGAUAAUAAAAAUUAUUACUUAAUACACAAAACUUACACAACUAAACUGGAGAAAUAAUAUCCAAAAAGAAAAGGUACUCUCAACAAUUUUAAUAUAAUUUAUGUACUCUUAAUAGUACAAGAAACAAAUUAAAAAGACAAACAAACAAUAAGCUUCAGUGACACAACAAACAUCACCACGAACUAUAUCAAUCACAUUACUAACACAGUUUAGUACUUCAUAAGUGGAGAACAGUGCAUACACAAUUCAUCAUCACAACUCUAACCCUAUAACAAUAAAAAGACUUGAAAAAAAAACUCAAAACGCAAAAUUCACAACUACAAUAACCCUAGCAAAUAUUGAGAUGAAACAAAAACUUUGUCCACG
rnacentral:lncRNA from 1 species